rnacentral:rRNA from 1 species
CAGCAGCCGCGGUAAUACGUAGGUGGCAAGCGUUGUCCGGAAUUAUUGGGCGUAAAGCGCGCGCAGGCGGUUUUUUAAGUCUGGUGUCUAAGUGCGGGGCUCAACCCCGUGACGCACUGGAAACUGGGAGACUUGAGUGCAGAAGAGGAGAGCGGAAUUCCACGUGUAGCGGUGAAAUGCGUAGAGAUGUGGAGGAACACCAGUGGCGAAGGCGGCUCUCUGGACUGUAACUGACGCUGAGGCGCGAAAGCGUGGGGAGCAAACAGGAUUAGAUACCCGAGUAGUCCCUGUCUCUAAUACA